rnacentral:rRNA from 1 species
AGAGUUUGAUCAUGGCUCAGGAUGAACGCUGGCGGCGUGCUUAACACAUGCAAGUCGAACGAACCUUCGGGUUAGUGGCGGACGGGUGAGUAACGCGUGAGAAUCUGCCCUCAGGAGGGGGACAACAGCUGGAAACGGCUGCUAAUACCCCAUAUGCCGCGAGGUGAAAUGAAUUUCGCCUGAGGAUGAGCUCGCGUCUGAUUAGCUAGUUGGUGUAGGUAAUGGCUCACCAAGGCAUCGAUCAGUAGCUGGUCUGAGAGGAUGAUCAGCCACACUGGGACUGAGACACGGCCCAGACUCCUACGGGAGGCAGCAGUGGGGAAUUUUCCGCAAUGGGCGAAAGCCUGACGGAGCAACGCCGCGUGAGGGAUGAAGGCCUCUGGGCUGUAAACCUCUUUUAUCAAGGAAGAAGAUCUGACGGUACUUGAUGAAUAAGCCACGGCUAAUUCCGUGCCAGCAGCCGCGGUAAUACGGGAGUGGCAAGCGUUAUCCGGAAUUAUUGGGCGUAAAGCGUCCGCAGGCGGCCCUUCAAGUCUGCUGUUAAAAAGUGGAGCUUGACUCCAUCAUGGCAGUGGAAACUGUUGGGCUUGAGUGUGGUAGGGGCAGAGGGAAUUCCCGGUGUAGCGGUGAAAUGCGUAGAUAUCGGGAAGAACACCAGUGGCGAAGGCGCUCUGCUGGGCCAUCACUGACGCUCAUGGACGAAAGCCAGGGGAGCGAAAGGGAUUAGAUACCCCUGUAGUCCUGGCCGUAAACGAUGAACACUAGGUGUCGGAGGAAUCGACCCCCUCGGUGUCGUAGCCAACGCGUUAAGUGUUCCGCCUGGGGAGUACGCACGCAAGUGUGAAACUCAAAGGAAUUGACGGGGGCCCGCACAAGCGGUGGAGUAUGUGGUUUAAUUCGAUGCAACGCGAAGAACCUUACCAGGGUUUGACAUCCCGCGAAUCUCUUGGAAACAGGAGAGUGCCUUCGGGAACGCAGUGACAGGUGGUGCAUGGCUGUCGUCAGCUCGUGUCGUGAGAUGUUGGGUUAAGUCCCGCAACGAGCGCAACCCACGUCUUUAGUUGCCAGCAUUUAGUUGGGCACUCUAGAGAGACUGCCGGUGAUAAACCGGAGGAAGGUGUGGAUGACGUCAAGUCAUCAUGCCCCUUACAUCCUGGGCUACACACGUACUACAAUGCUACGGACAAAGGGCAGCAAGUUCGCGAGGACAAGCAAAUCCCAUAAACCGUGGCUCAGUUCAGAUCGUAGGCUGCAACUCGCCUACGUGAAGGCGGAAUCGCUAGUAAUCGCAGGUCAGCAUACUGCGGUGAAUACGUUCCCGGGCCUUGUACACACCGCCCGUCACACCAUGGAAGUUGGCCACGCCCGAAGCCGUUACUCCAACCCUUGUGGAGGAGGACGUCGAAGGUGGGGCUGAUGACUGGGGUGAAGUCGUAACAAGGUA